GAUGAACGCUGGCGGCGUGCCUAAUACAUGCAAGUCGAGCGAACACACGAGGAGCUUGCUCCUCUGACGUUAGCGGCGGACGGGUGAGUAACACGUGGAUAACCUACCUAUAAGACUGGGAUAACUUCGGGAAACCGGAGCUAAUACCGGAUAAUAUAUUGAACCGCAUGGUUCAAUAGUGAAAGACGGUUUUGCUGUCACUUAUAGAUGGAUCCGCGCCGCAUUAGCUAGUUGGUAAGGUAACGGCUUACCAAGGCGACGAUGCGUAGCCGACCUGAGAGGGUGAUCGGCCACACUGGAACUGAGACACGGUCCAGACUCCUACGGGAGGCAGCAGUAGGGAAUCUUCCGCAAUGGGCGAAAGCCUGACGGAGCAACGCCGCGUGAGUGAUGAAGGUCUUCGGAUCGUAAAACUCUGUUAUUAGGGAAGAACAAAUGUGUAAGUAACUAUGCACGUCUUGACGGUACCUAAUCAGAAAGCCACGGCUAACUACGUG
rnacentral:rRNA from 1 species